UACGUAGGUCCCGAGCGUUGUCCGGAUUUAUUGGGCGUAAAGCGAGCGCAGGUGGUUUAUUAAGUCUGGUGUAAAAGGCAGUGGCUCAACCAUUGUAUGCAUUGGAAACUGGUAGACUUGAGUGCAGGAGAGGAGAGUGGAAUUCCAUCUGUAGCGGUGAAAUGCGUAGAUAUAUGGAGGAACACCGGUGGCGAAAGCGGCUCUCUGGCCUGUAACUGACACUGAGGCUCGAAAGCGUGGGGAGCAAACAGG
rnacentral:rRNA from 1 species